GAUGAACGCUGGCGGCGUGCCUAAUACAUGCAAGUCGAGCGAACAGACGAGGAGCUUGCUCCAUUGACGUUAGCGGCGGACGGGUGAGUAACACGUGGGUAACCUACCUAUAAGACUGGGAUAACUUCGGGAAACCGGAGCUAAUACCGGAUAAUAUUUCGAACCGCAUGGUUCGAUAGUGAAAGAUGGCUUUGCUAUCACUUAUAGAUGGACCUGCGCCGUAUUAGCUAGUUGGUAAGGUAACGGCUUACCAAGGCAACGAUACGUAGCCGACCUGAGAGGGUGAUCGGCCACACUGGAACUGAGACACGGUCCAGACUCCUACGGGAGGCAGCAGUAGGGAAUCUUCCGCAAUGGGCGAAAGCCUGACGGAGCAACGCCGCGUGAGUGAUGAAGGUCUUCGGAUCGUAAAACUCUGUUAUUAGGGAAGAACAAACGUGUAAGUAACUGAGCACGUCUUGACGGUACCUAAUCAGAAAGCCACGGCUAACUACGUG
rnacentral:rRNA from 1 species